CACACACUCUCUCUCUCUCUCUCACCUGAGCCUCCAUCCUCAUCGUCACUCUCUCUCUCUCUCAGAGCUUUCCAGUCUCCGCCUUUCCUCACUGUCAUUCUCUCUCUCUGUCUCUCCUCAUUGCUUUUGCUCUAUUGGUUUUUGGGUUUGACUUUUUGGGAAGGUUCUAUCUCUCGCAUAUACCCACAGUUAUUGGUUUUGGCAUCGAUUUUUUGCUUGAUUCUCGUUCCUCGUCUCUGCAAAUCAACUGGGUCUUCCUACCACUCUAUUUCCUCAGUUGCCUACAUGUCUACCAGAUCCUCUGCCUGAGCCCUAGCCCCAAGGCCCCCAACUAGCGCGACAUCAGAAUCACAAUCGUUGUUUGGAGAGGAAGUUGAGUCCAUUCAAAACGUUCUUGAUGAUUAUAAAGAAGAUGAACUGGAGGAAAGUCAUGCCAUGGAGCUUUCAGACUAAUGGAUAGGUUGCUGAUGAUUCAACAAUGUAUGGAUCUGUGUGUUAGUUGAAGAACUUGUACAAAAGCCCUUUGGAUUGCUUUCCAUGAUUUUAGAUAAACAACCUUCUUGCCCACCUUUAAGUCGUCAUAUAUUAACCACAAAGAGAUGUUAUUGCAUUCUCUCGAGGCUUCCCUUCUUUGAAUUGCAUUUUGGUGUACUGAAUAGGUGUGUUCAUCCAGUGGAAAUAUUUUACACUGAAAAGCCUGAAAGUGACUUUUAUUACUGUUACAUUGACCUUGAUUUUGUAAAAUUUAUUUUAGGAGUUGCCAUUUGCUUGACAAACAACUGAAGAGGCAGAGGA